UCGACGGUGAUGGGGGGCUUGCUCCUCUGAUCAGUGGCGAACGGGUGAGUAACACGUGAGUAACCUGCCCUUCACUCUGGGAUAACGCUGGGAAACUGGUGCUAAUACUGGAUACGACCUGAACAGGCAUCUGUAUCGGGUGGAAAGAUUUAUUGGUGGAGGAUGGACUCGCGGCCUAUCAGCUUGUUGGUGAGGUAAUGGCUUACCAAGGCGACGACGGGUAGCCGGCCUGAGAGGGCGAUCGGCCACACUGGGACUGAGACACGGCCCAGACUCCUACGGGAGGCAGCAGUGGGGAAUAUUGCACAAUGGGCGAAAGCCUGAUGCAGCGACGCCGCGUGAGGGAUGAAGGCCUUCGGGUUGUAAACCUCUUUCAGCAGGGAAGAAGCGCCUGGGUUUUCUUGGGUGUGACGGUACCUGCAGAAGAAGCACCGGCUAACUACGUGCCAGCAGCCGCGGUAAUACGUAGGGUGCGAGCGUUGUCCGGAAUUAUUGGGCGUAAAGAGCUUGUAGGCGGUUUGUCGCGUCUGCUGUGAAAUUUCGGGACUCAACCCCGAACUUGCAGUGGGUACGGGCAGACUAGAGUGUGGUAGGGGAGACUGGAAUUCCUGGUGUAGCGGUGAAAUGCGCAGAUAUCAGGAGGAACACCGAUGGCGAAGGCAGGUCUCUGGGCCACUACUGACGCUGAGAAGCGAAAGCAUGGGGAGCGAACAGGAUUAGAUACCCUGGUAGUCCAUGCCGUANACGUUGGGAACUAGGUGUGGGCNUCAUUCCACGAGGUCCGUGCCGCAGCUAACGCAUUAAGUUCC
rnacentral:rRNA from 1 species